rnacentral:rRNA from 1 species
CACGUAGUUAGCCGUGGCUUUCUGAUUAGGUACCGUCAAGACGUGCACAGUUACUUACACAUUUGUUCUUCCCUAAUAACAGAGUUUUACGAUCCGAAGACCUUCAUCACUCACGCGGCGUUGCUCCGUCAGGCUUUCGCCCAUUGCGGAAGAUUCCCUAUGCUGCCUCCCGUAGGAGUCUGGACCGUGUCUCAGUUCCAGUGUGGCCGAUCACCCUCUCAGGUCGGCUACGUAUCGUUGCCUUGGUAAGCCAUUACCCCACCAACUAGCUAAUACGGCGCGGGUCCAUCUAUAAGUGAUAGUAAAACCAUCUUUCACUUUAGAACCAUGCGGUUACUAAAUAUUAAUCCGGCAUUACGCCCGGUUUCCCGGAGUUAUUCCAGUCUAUAGUAGGUACCCAUCGUUACUCUACCCGUCCGCCGCUAACGUCAAAGGAGCCAAGCUCCUUAGUCUCGUUCGCUCGACUUGCCUAUGUAUUAGGCUACGCCGUCCACGUCGUUC